rnacentral:rRNA from 1 species
GCGGUAGAGAUUCUUCGGAAUCUUGAGAGCGGCGUACGGGUGCGGAACACGUGUGCAACCUGCCUUUAUCAGGGGGAUAGCCUUUCGAAAGGAAGAUUAAUACCCCAUAAUAUAUUAACUGGCAUCAGUUGAUAUUGAAAACUACGGUGGAUAGAGAUGGGCACGCGCAAGAUUAGCUAGUUGGUGAGGUAACGGCUCACCAAGGCGACGAUCUUUAGGGGGCCUGAGAGGGUGAUCCCCCACACUGGUACUGAGACACGGACCAGACUCCUACGGGAGGCAGCAGUGAGGAAUAUUGGACAAUGGGUGGAAGCCUGAUCCAGCCAUCCCGCGUGCAGGAAGACGGCCCUAUGGGUUGUAAACUGCUUUUAUCUGGGGAUAAACCUACUUACGUGUAAGUAGCUGAAGGUACCAGAAGAAUAAGCACCGGCUAACUCCGUGCCAGCAGCCGCGGUAAUACGGAGGGUGCAAGCGUUAUCCGGAUUUAUUGGGUUUAAAGGGUCCGUAGGCGGACUAGUAAGUCAGUGGUGAAAUCCGACAGCUUAACUGUCGAACUGCCAUUGAUACUGCUAGUCUUGAGUAAGGUUGAAGUGGCUGGAAUAAGUAGUGUAGCGGUGAAAUGCAUAGAUAUUACUUAGAACACCAAUUGC